GGAAAGGAAGGAGAAUAGGUGAGACGCGGCCACCGAUGCGGGUAAGGCAGCACGCGGCUGCCGGCGGCACGGAGCGUGGCCUCCUACCUCACGCGAGCGGCCCUCCUACCUGCCGCGCCUCUCCGCGCGAGCGCGGACUCGAGGACACGGGCACGGAGCGCGGAGGAACGUGGCGAAGCUGCCGGAGUGAGCGGUGUGCGGUAGCGGCCGCUGGUGUUCGUCGCUGGCAGCGUGGAGAGGCGCGCGGUGGGGCUUCGGGGUCGGUGCGACGCGGCGACAGGGAGUGUUGGGGCCGGAGAAGAUAGCUGGAGCGGAGAAGCCCGCUUGUUUGCCACAGCGGUCUCCGCCGGAGCCGGUGGUACGAACUAGACUGCCCGCGGCUGGCGUGCCCCGAGUAGAGGCUCCACAAGCUGCACGAUCUGCUGUACUCGACGUCGCAGCAGCUACGGUCCCGUACCAGCGUAGCGCCGGCGGAGCGGACGGAACAGAUGGACGCCCUGCUCCUACACCUGCGUCGGCCACACCUCGUGUAGCUCCGGGUGGAGAGGGGGGAGGAGGUGCCUCUGAGCCUUCGGUCACCGCCGUGGCACCGACGGCAGGGGCGGCCGAGGUAGGGCGUGCGGCUGGCCGCGGAGGUGGUAGAGUACAUACGGUUGCCGCUGGUCCUCGCACACAAGGGUUGAGGGAACCACGCACGAGUACAUACAGCUCGGGCUGUGGUACCCGAGGCACGUGUGCCCCAGGAUGCCGGUCUAGAAGGCGGAGCUGUUGAAACAGAAGCCGGUCAGGCCGCGGCCGUUGUUGACCCGGUUACCGGGGAUGUGGCUCCCGCCCCUCGAGUAGCUGAGGCAGGAGCUGCAGCAGGCGUUCCUCCGGCUCUUGACGCGACGGAGGUUCCACACGGUGAGGGAGCCGCCCCCGUGGCCAAGGUUCUAGUCCCUCCUCAUGGGCCCGGCCUACUACGAGUGGAAGAGGCACAAGGGUAGAGGUUUCCAGAGACUGUGCCACCAGCUCGGGAUGUUGUAGUGAGAGAGCCAAGUGGUCGACCACCUCUUGCGGCUGCUCACGUACCACGACCUGUUGUUCCGCGAGAUGCUGUAAACGAAGGCGUGGGAGUUCGAUUGGUGUGGAUCGACAUUCGUUUAGACACUGUAGUUCGAUAUAAUGGACGGACAUGAAAAAAUGGACGGACAUGAAAAAAUGAUUACACUUACGAUUUACUUAUUUUCUCUAUCUCCUAAUUAUGUGACUGAGACCGAACCGUUGAAAUAUAACCAAAGAACUGGCUCUAAGACCAUGUCUACCUUGGCACUAAACACUAUCAGAUCGCUAAUCAUCUUUCGAUUGACAUUUUAGUGCACGAAACGUUGAGAACAGUAUUAGUAUAUGUAUCCUAAUCAAGUCAAAUUUCGUCCCUAAGUCUAACGAGAUGACACCGUGUGUAACAGUUAAUCAAUUCACUCUAGUUUUAUCUUCACGUCUAAACCACCGUUUUGUAAGAUAUCCCCUCGUCAAUUGGCCAAACAACAAUGUUCCACGAGAUCAAAAAAAUCGUGUGGUUAACCGACGUGUAACAUGAAGAUUAUCACUAAAAAAUAAUUGCACUCUAGAUUCGAGUUAUCAAGCGUGUUGAACCCUCCGUUAGGACUUUUCCUCCUCUCGUGAACUUUAUCCGAAUCACUUCUCUUAAACUCUACCGUGUAGGGUCCCUUAAAGUUCCCACUCCUUCGACUCACUUGACAAAAGACGACUGUCAUCCACCACCUUACUCCUGUGAGAGGUUCUCUUGAAGAAUUGUGGUCUGUAGACCCACUAUUUCUUCUGGGGAGAACCUUUUAACCUGGUCCUAUACACCCACACUAGGUCUUAAAAUACGGACAGUCCCGAUUGAACGUGGAGGUAGGGAUGCGGGGAAACUAAUGUAAACGUUAAGUUAUACGUUUAUUCGACCUACGAACCUACGGGCACCACUCACUUCAUACCUAAAUCAGACAGCCAAUUCGACUGAUUGACAAAGUUUUAGAACUUGAUUACAAAAAACACUGUGGACUUGAUUUCAACCAGUACGAUUGUUUUGGAAGUUGAAUAAUCUUGUCUUUAACAUUGUUGUAAAUCGAAUAACAAGACACUUCAUUGAUGAUAACAUGGUCUUUUAAAACACGUGCACGUAAGUUAAUGUCCAAUAGGCUCGGACGAACGUGAACGUUGACUAGUUACGGCUAGGUCAACAAGAGUCCUAUCUAUUUUUAGUCAAGAACAAGUAAUAUCUCCCGUAGGUUGUAUUUAUUCUAAAAAUUUAGACUGUGUUGUAAAAAUAACAUGUUAAGUCAGACUUUCUAUUCUUGUUUGAAUAGACGGUGAUAUCUCCCUUAGUUUGUAUUUUAUCCACUGUACGUCUAUAACUGUAUGCUAAUGUAAAAAUACCGUAAUGAUUAGGUCAAUACCAAGGUAACAACAGCGUGUGGCUUGCAAGUUACUUAAAGAACUUCUUUUACAUACCUCAGAAAACAACACACGAAGUUGGUCCAUUUUAGGAUAACCAAUAAGAUUAGUAUGCUAGAAGGCUCGGUUAAAACACUCGAAUCAUGUCAUCCUAAGAAUAAAAAAUUCCGAAGGGUCAUCUAUAUAACCUCGACGGGGAAGGAGAAGAUGACACGAUAGAGAUGAAGAAAGGGAAGAUGAACUAUCAGUUUUUAAAUCAUGUAGAGGUACGAGUACCAAGAAGUCGUAUAUAUCAGAUGAUACAUUAAGAGACACAUUGGGUAAAUUGAGACGUUGUCGGUGAUUUUAUAUAGACAUUCGAACGUAUCCUUAUUAAGUAAAAAAAUAACAACAAACCAAUAACACCAAGUGUCGGUUAAAGAAAUCCGAAAUUCCUAUACCAUCCUAAUGUGAUUGUUAGGCUCAUUUAUCAUAAACCAGGAAAACUAGUACAAAGUACCGUUAUUUAUACAAAGGAACACCACGUUAAACAAAGGACGUUAACCAUUGAGUUGAAAAAACGUCCCUCCAUUGAUGUAAAGAAGGCAACGACUUUUUCGACUCCACUUAAGAUACUGUCACUCCCAACUACUAUCCUCGUGUUCAUUAAGACUACACAGAAUGUAUUCUACGAUAUUCCUAAUGUAUUGAAAGAAAUAGCUAGUGUCAUGGCUGCCACCGUCCGGUACGAAAGAUAGACGUCCAGAGGUUGAUUUUCAGAUUGACGUCCUCAUACAUCUUAGAAGAAAUGAAUUGAUCGACUAUGAGUGCCUGUAUAGCACUUCGUGUUCGUCGGAACGUUGGCGUUUGGAACGUCUGAAGAGAAAAGUAUAGGUUUGAAACGUUUGUAAAGUAAGUACAAAAAUUUGAAUAAGACGCAAAUAAAAUCACGUGGUUCUUUUUUAUUUAAACACUGGUAAACACGAAUAGAUGAUGACGAAACUCAAAAAAAAG
rnacentral:rRNA from 1 species